rnacentral:lncRNA from 1 species
CUAUACGGGGACAUUUUCGACACCCCACAAAGGGGAGUGCUGAGAGCACAUCGCCAGUCAAUGCUCCUCUGAAUGCCUUCCUCCUGUGGCUGCCCUCUUCCCCACACAGGUCCACUUCUACGAGGACCUUGUCGAAGGAGGCACGAGUUGAUGGCAAGCCAGAAGGGGGCCCUGCAGGCAUUCUUCCAGGAGAACCCUUACCCUGGAUCGCUGCCAGAGAACACCUGGCCCAAGAACUGGCCAUACCUGAGUCCAGAAUCCAGGGGAGAGGAAGCCUGCGCAAGGGUCCAAUUGUGAUGAGAAUGACACCCAUUUCCAGCGUCUUCUUGUGUCAAAGUCUCCUCAGCUCCCUCAGGGGACUGCAGCAGGAACCCCAUCAUCUGUCCAUGCAGAUGACCAAAGAAGAAAUGACUUUUCUACCAACACCAUCCAUUGUGUGUUUCCCUACAGUUUACGCUCCUCAGGGGAGACCAACGCCUUCUUCCUUGUACACCAAAGGGCCAUGCAAAUACAUGUAACAAUGUCUGGUGCCAAAACCAGUGAAGGAUACAGCGAAGGCAGAGCCGCUGACUGGGCUCCACAAUCCGCCAAGGAGAAGGGCCACUGCGUGGACAGGAAGAGCCUCCAGGUGACUCCCCAGCAUCCAAGAAGGGUCCCCUCCUGAGCCACUCCUUGACACAGGAAUGUGUCUCUGUGUGCUUACCGAGGAGUAGCAAAAGCCUCAGGAAGGGCAUCAUCUCUGCUCUCAUGUUCCAGCCACCCUCGUGACCGAGGAUGGCGACACCCCACCUGCCAUUGUUGGGCAGGCAGCAGGCAGGCUGUUUCUGGGCCAGGAAGGAUCUGCGUCUUCCUGUCCUGAACCUGCUAGUCAGGACAGAGGCGUCUUCUUCUAUCAACUCACCAUUGUUAUCCAAAGGCUGGCUCCAGGGGUGGGUUCAGACUCUGGCUCUUGGCCUCAGGGAAGGGAGGCUAUGAAGUCAGAGAACAGAGAGAAAAGUGCACUCUCUCUCUCUCCCUCUCUCUCUCUCUCUCACACACACACACACACACAGUCACAUGCACUCACACACUGUCACACACCACCACAUAUACCCUGACACCCACUUCUAUCUCCACACUGGCUGUGCUACUGGCGUUCAAGCCCUCCUCUCCAACACUGUUUUCUCUUUAGGUCGAGUCCGAAGGAAGGCAGGAAAAAACUGACAUCCAUUUCUGCAUCACAAACCAGUAUCUUCCUUCAAGCCUUUGAGGAGGAGCGGUUUCCUGGCAUUGCUAUGAGGGAGAGCCCAGCCAGAAGAACAGGCAUUCCAGUAGCCAGAAUUCAGGUGAGUUUUUACCAUGUGUCAUGGGCGUUGUUCGCUGUGGAAGGGACGGUAGCCCUUAGAUGUUGUCGGAGAGACAUGAACUUCUUGGGGGGUUAACCACGGAGUGUGGAGCAGAGGCACCAGGGGCAUAGUGUUGACCAUGCCAGUGAGAACCUGUCCAAAGGAAGAAUUUCCAAACUCAAUGGGUGGUUAACACACAUGCUUGUAGACAUGGUAACCAGACCAGCGAGGGAAUAUGUCCAAGUUGCCCUCUCUACAGAGAAGCCAAAGUGUCAGGGCUUCAAGAGCUCAGCCCUAUUAUCCAUUGAGUAGGCCCACAAGAUGCCGUUACUGUGUGUGGGCUUGCUGUCCUGUGUGUGGAGACAGAUAUGAUGCUGCCCUGGUCCUCUGGACCGUGGAGCUACAACGGAUCCUGCCUAGGAGCCACACACGUUGUGUGGAUAACCUAAUCAGCCUGGAUUACAGGCCCUAAUCCAGGUGAGGGAGAGGUGUCAGGGAACGCCUGGGCAUCAGGGAACGGCAGGGCUUUCUGCCUUAGUUCUGCACACAGCGCUUGCUGGGAUGGGAGGUGUAAGGUAGCCUUCAGGGAGAUAUAGGAAGAGUCUCUGAAAGACUCUCGGUUGGUGCAUGCCACUUCAGGUGGCAUGCCUCGGCGGUCCUCUGACGCGUCUCGUCAGAGGUCAGAGGAGAACCUCGAGGUGCUAGCCUGAGCUCCUCUUUUCCUCCAGCCAGGAGGGGACAGAGGGCAGGUGCUACGUAGCUGUUCUCCAUGUGGAAGACUGGCUACCCACACCUUGCCCUCGGCCUAGUACAGAUGUGCCUGCAGUCCGGCCAGAUAGCAGUGAGGCCAGCCUCUGAGGCAGAGGAUGUGGUUUUCCACACAUUCACACCCAAGAGUAGAUGGGGAAAGAGGUGUUGAGCACAGCUGGAAACAGACCGCAGGAUGUGGAGUACAGUGGGUAAAGUGGGGCAGGCCGUCUGCUGAGUCUCAGUCCCUGGAGAUUUAACCUUCUGGAUCUCCAGCAAACGCAACACACCUGUAUGUGCAGCUCGGGCGGGACCCCCUUGAAAACUUACUACACAGCAGCAGAAGGGAAGGCAGCGUCGGGAAUCAGGUCCAGGGCGGCAACUCAGAGCUCAGAGAAAGGGAGGCAUCGAGAAGAUUGUGGCUUCAGCUGCAUGGUGUCUACAGAGCGGCUGGGCCUCCCUAGAGCUGGGCCUCAUCAUCCAUAAGGAGCAGGGUUUUGUGGCCUUGAACUGACGCUCCCCAUGCCUCAAACUUUGGACCUGUGGAGGCUUUGCCUCUGGCAUCAGACUCUUCCCGGACAGGGAAAUCUCCCACGGACAGGGCAGGAGGCAGCUCUGGGUGGCCCCCAGCUUCCUCAAGACAGAGUGCCCUUGGGGGGCACGCGGUGCCCCACCUUCUUGCUUGCUGGU